UGGGGAAUAUUGCACAAUGGGCGCAAGCCUGAUGCAGCGACGCCGCGUGAGGGAUGGCGGCCUUCGGGUUGUAAACCUCUUUCAGCUCCGACGAAGCGCAAGUGACGGUAGGAGCAGAAGAAGCACCGGCCAACUACGUGCCAGCAGCCGCGGUAAUACGUAGGGUGCAAGCGUUGUCCGGAAUUACUGGGCGUAAAGAGCUCGUAGGCGGUUUGUCGCGUCGUCUGUGAAAUUCUGCAGCUUAACUGCAGGCGUGCAGGCGAUACGGGCAGACUUGAGUACUACAGGGGAGACUGGAAUUCCUGGUGUAGCGGUGAAAUGCGCAGAUAUCAGGAGGAACACCGGUGGCGAAGGCGGGUCUCUGGGUAGUAACUGACGCUGAGGAGCGAAAGCGUGGGUAGCGAACAGG
rnacentral:rRNA from 1 species